rnacentral:rRNA from 1 species
GAUGAACGCUGGCGGCGUGCCUAAUACAUGCAAGUCGAGCGAACAGAUAAGGAGCUUGCUCCUUUGACGUUAGCGGCGGACGGGUGAGUAACACGUGGGUAACCUACCUAUAAGACUGGGAUAACUUCGGGAAACCGGAGCUAAUACCGGAUAACAUUUGGAACCGCAUGGUUCUAAAGUGAAAGAUGGUUUUGCUAUCACUUAUAGAUGGACCCGCGCCGUAUUAGCUAGUUGGUAAGGUAACGGCUUACCAAGGCGACGAUACGUAGCCGACCUGAGAGGGUGAUCGGCCACACUGGAACUGAGACACGGUCCAGACCCCUACGGGAGGCAGCAGUAGGGAAUCUUCCGCAAUGGGCGAAAGCCUGACGGAGCAACGCCGCGUGAGUGAUGAAGGGUUUCGGCUCGUAAAACUCUGUUAUUAGGGAAGAACAAACGUGUAAGUAACUGUGCACGUCUUGACGGUACCUAAUCAGAAAGCCACGGCUAACUACGUG